GAAAUGGUUGAAGACCAUUUCUUCUUCGUUUUUACUUGCGACAAGGAUAUCAUCCAAAUAGACAAAAAUUAAAUCUAGACCAGAAAGUACUUCGUUCAUGAAGCGUUGGAACGUUUGGGCGGCAUUUUUGAGGCCAAAGGGCAUUCUCAAAAAUUCGAAUAAGCCAAAUGGUGUUGAAAUCGCUGUUUUGGGAAUAUCUUCUUCAGCCACAGGUACCUGAUGGUAUGCACGUACAAGAUCGACUUUAGAAAAUAUUGUACAACCAUGAAGAUGCAGAUUGAAGUCAUGGAUAUGAGGUAAUGGAUAGCGAUCAGGUAUUGUGGCAAGGCACCAUGUGCAAUGGGGAAGAAACUUGUGAAGAAGAUGGCCGACAGAUUCCAAGUGAUACCAUGUGUUCAAAUUCUUUUUUAGCGAUAGAAAAUUUUAUGGGGUCUAAACGUCUUGGACGACAAAACGGCAAGUGAGUGUUUGUAAUGAUUCGAUGUUGCGUUGUGUGUUUAAUUGGAGAUAAAAAAUUAGGUGAUGAAGUUAAUUUUGGGAAAGAUUUAACGAGAGAAGUGAAUUUAGUUUCGAUAGAGAAGAGUUUGGGUAUUGGUAUAAAAGAUUUUUUGAUGCUACCUAUUGAAGAUAAUUUGGUAGUAUUAUCAAUUAAACGACGAUUUUUGAUGUCGACGAUAAUGUCGAAUUUGUUUAAGAAAUCAGCGCCAAUAAUUGGUUUGUUGACAUCAGCAAUUGUGAAAACAUGUAAUUAUUGGCGUACCAUUUGCAGCCGUUAAUGUAGAAAUGGUAUCUCUCUUAUGUUUACGAAAGAAUUUAUAAGGCAGCACAGAGAUGUCUGCUCCUGUAUCAAUCAGAAAAUUUAAAUUGGAUUGGUUAUCGUAAACAUAAAGACGAGAACUGAUUUGAUUAAUUAUCGGGUGCGUUCGUCGUUCAUUGAAUUGUUUUGAAUCAAGUUUUGAAUUUAUUGAAUUGUUGUUCUCUAGCGAAACUUGUUUCAGUUUUUUUGGUUCUGUGAAGAUGAUGAAAGAUUUGUGUCUUUAAAGGAAUUAUAAAACAUACAUUCUUUUUCGCAGUUUCGUGCUUUAUCGCCAUACUUGGAAUGAUAAUAACAGAUAUGGUUUUGACGUUGCCUGGAAGAACUUCUUGGACGAGGUGAUCGAUACCUUAACAUCUUACAAUUAUAGCAAAGAUUUGUUGCUAUGUCAGGUUCGUUAAGUCGAGCAGCAAGAGAGUUAAUGCUCGUCUGGAUAUUUGAUUGCCAUUGAUGAAGUUGUUGUGAGUUUUUAUCAAUAGAAACUGAAAGGUUAUUUAUGGCUUGUAACAAUUGAGAAGUUGUAUGCACAUUGGAAGAGGACUCGUCGUUAAUUUUGUUGACUUCAAUUUUAGGAAAACGAGUCGUUGAAAAAGAUAAUGAAUCCCAGAUUUUAUCGGCUAUGUUAAGCAAAUCAUUGAUGUCAUCUUUACCUGAAGACAAUAACGCUACCGAGAUAGUUUGGGGCAAUCUUCUCUGCCAAAGUUUUAGCAAUAAAUUUGGACUUACGACUUGCGAUCCACCGACUGUCGAUAACAUACUCCUAUAGAAAUCAGAUGGUUUUUGAUCUCCCAUCUGAGAGCCGGAAAGGAGAUCAUCAAGACGUUUCUCUUCACUUAGAGAAAGCCUAUUGAUCAAAGUGUUUUUUAAAUAUAAGUAUGAAUCGAUAUCCGGUGGAGCAUCUACGACGUCGUAAACAAUCGAAACUAUCUCGGUAGGCAAAUGCGUAAUUACCAAAUUAUAUUUUGUUUUAUCAUUAGUUAUUCUUGACAGGUAG